rnacentral:rRNA from 1 species
GACGAACGCUGGCGGCGUGCUUAACACAUGCAAGUCGAACGGUGACGAGGAGCUUGCUCCUCUGAUCAGUGGCGAACGGGUGAGUAACACGUGAGCAACCUGCCCCAGACUCUGGGAUAACAGUUGGAAACAGCUGCUAAUACCGGAUACGAGACGGAGAGGCAUCUCUACCGUCUGGAAAGUUUUCGGUCUGGGAUGGACUCGCGGCCUAUCAGCUAGUUGGUGAGGUAAUGGCUCACCAAGGCGACGACGGGUAGCCGGCCUGAGAGGGCGACCGGCCACACUGGGACUGAGACACGGCCCAGACUCCUACGGGAGGCAGCAGUGGGGAAUAUUGCACAAUGGGCGAAAGCCUGAUGCAGCGACGCCGCGUGAGGGAUGAAGGCCUUCGGGUUGUAAACCUCUUUCAGCAGGGAAGAAGCGAAAGUGACGGUACCUGCAGAAGAAGCACCGGCUAACUACGUG